rnacentral:rRNA from 1 species
CAAUUCUAGACUCUUUGGUGGUGUAAAAAUGUUAAUAGGAAUAGUUAAAUGUAAGGAUAAUUAGUAGCCUCAUUCCUUUGAUAUUGGCUUCAUCUGGUCCAAAUAUAGAUAUUCUAUUCACAAAAGCUUGAGGUGUGACAGGGAUUAGAUACCCCAUUAAUUCAAGUGAUAAAUCAUGGCUUAUUGUAAAUUGGAUCUAUUUUUAACAUAUGAUCUUUAUCAACUUAAGGAGGAGGCUUUCAUUUCAGAAACUUAAAUGUUCUGAUGGUGAUUUAAAACAAUAGUGGAAUAGAUGAUUUAAUUCGAUGUUAUGCGAUAAAGCUUAUCUGCUAGUCACUUCAAUACCUCUCAUUUGGUAGAAUUCUAUCCAUUAGUAGUGCAUGGCUGCUCUCAGCUAAUGUUUUGUAAUAUCUGCUUCAAUUCAAGAAUAAGCCCUACAAACUAUUUGUCUCAUAGUUCCACUUAUUCAAGAGCUUGUGGUUUUAAUGUUUAGAGGUUUUCACUCCUGCAGCAUAUUCUAUUCACAAGAGUUGGUCAAGAUAAAAUUAGAUAGAAUAAGAUCAAGUCAUUAUGCUCUUUUUUCAGAGAUAUUCAUGUGUUACAAAGUUUGCCACUAGAGAUCUUACUACAUGAGAACAGGUUAGUGAAAAGGUUAUCAUCCAAAUUGAAAACUGAAAUGUCUUUACACAGGUGGAAUUAUUUGGAAUCUUUGGUUAGUUACUUAAAGGUGAACAGGAGAUAAAUUCUACACAUACUGCCCGUCAAGCAAAAAGCAGAGAUAUAGAUUCAAACAG